AGUGAACGCUGGCGGCGUGCUUAACACAUGCAAGUCGAACGAGAACGGGCUAUAGCUUGCUAUAGUUGUCAGCUAAGUGGCGCACGGGUGAGUAAUGUAUAGGUAAUAUGCCUCUUACUAAGGGAUAACAAAUGGAAACGUUUGCUAAUACCUUAUACUCCUUAUUAACAGAAGUUAAUAAGGGAAAGAUUUAUUGGUAAGAGAUUAGCCUGUAUUGUAUCAGUUAGUUGGUGGGGUAAUGGCUUACCAAGACUAUGACACAUAACUGGUUUGAGCGGUAGAUCAGUCACACUGGAACUGAGACACGGUCCAGACUCCUACGGGAGGCAGCAGUGGGGAAUAUUGCACAAUGGACGAAAGUCUGAUGCAGCAACGCCGCGUGGAGGAUGACACAUUUCGGUGCGUAAACUCCUUUUAUAUGAGAAGAUAGUGACGGUAUUAUAUGAAUAAGCACCGGCUAACUCCGUGCCAGCCGCCGCGGUAA
rnacentral:rRNA from 1 species